rnacentral:lncRNA from 1 species
ACAACCAGAUUGCAAUCAACACUGUUGCACAAUGAACUUCUCUGCACACAUCCUGGAAGAACCAGAAUCCUAGGAGCAUGGAAGACUUAAUUCAUUCAACAGUAACCACCUCUUUUUAGCCUAAGACUUUGGCAGCCGAACAACAGAACAGGAAUUAUGUCAGCUUUUCUGCUUAGCAUGAGCUCUGCCCCAGAACCAAUGACAUAAAAUACGUAUGUUUGCUUUCCCUGCCACAAAGUUGCGACACAUUAUCAAAGCUUUACAAAGUCACUCUAUCUUAGGACACCCCUAGACAACUUGUUUCCAUCUUACUUCUGGGACAAAAAUAUUUACUGUAUCCUGCUUUCAUUGUCUUUGUGAAUAUUACAUUAAAUGUUGACAUGUGCUUGGCAAUUCAAAUUCAUUGGUUAAAU